AUUGAACGCUAGCGGGAUGCCUUACACAUGCAAGUCGAACGGAGCGGCGAACGGGUGAGUAAUGCAUCGGAACGUGCCCAGUAGCGGGGGAUAACUACGCGAAAGCGUAGCUAAUACCGCAUACUAUUGUAGCGGCCGAGUUCGGAUUAGCGAGUUGGGGGGGUAACGGCUUACCAAGGCGACGAUCCGUAUCUGGUUUGAGAGGACGACCAGUCAGCCGUGGACUGAGACACGGCCCAGACUCCUACGGGUGGCAGGAGUGGGGAAUUUUGGACAAUGGGGGAAACCCUGAUCCAGCCAUCCCGCGUGUGCGAAGAAGGCCUUCGGGUUGUAAAGAACUUUGGGCUGGAAGGCGUUACCUGCAGAAUAAGCAUCGGCUAACUUCGUGCCAGCAGCCGCGGUAAUAC
rnacentral:rRNA from 1 species